GACGAACGCUGGCGGCGUGCCUAAUACAUGCAAGUAGAACGCUGAAGGAGGAGCUUGCUUCUCUGGAUGAGUUGCGAACGGGUGAGUAACGCGUAGGUAACCUGCCUGGUAGCGGGGGAAAACUAUUGGAAACGAUAGCUAAUACCGCAUAAGAGUAGAUGUUGCAUGACAUUUACUUAAAAGGUGCAAUUGCAUCACUACCAGAUGGACCUGCGUUGUAUUAGCUAGUUGGUGAGGUAACGGCUCACCAAGGCAACGAUACAUAGCCGACCUGAGAGGGUGAUCGGCCACACUGGGACUGAGACACGGCCCAGACUCCUACGGGAGGCAGCAGUAGGGAAUCUUCGGCAAUGGACGGAAGUCUGACCGAGCAACGCCGCGUGAGUGAAGAAGGUUUUCGGAUCGUAAAGCUCUGUUGUAAGAGAAGAACGAGUGUGAGAGUGGAAAGUUCACACUGUGACGGUAUCUUACCAGAAAGGGACGGCUAACUACGUG
rnacentral:rRNA from 1 species